GCGAACAGGGCAGCGCAAGGUCUGCCUCUCCCCUGGACAGGCAGAAGACGAGGUGGAGGUCAGCGAAGAUUCUGCGGAUGCCUCCAGGCCCCGGCACGGGCCUACCCGACCGCUGAUGCGGUGAA
rnacentral:ncRNA from 2 species